CUCACAAGCUUUCAGAAUUCUCCUCACACUCCACUCUUGGACCGUGUUCCGACAACUGAUGUUACCAUAGGACACUGUCUUAAAGGAAGUGGCAUCCCAGCUCCCUGGUGGAGGAUGAGGUCUACUGCAAGAACUCAGCAACACAGCUCCUCUGCCAGCGACUCACUUCCAGGGCCCACUGCGGUCUGGACAGUUCAGUGAGGCAGGAGGGAGCGAGAGCAGCCUAGUGUGUGUCAGAGUACAGCCUGAGCACACGCUUA